AAAAAUGCAUUUUUCUGAAAUCCAUGCCUAUAACUCCAUAGUUAAUAGACAAAAAAUCCUGAUCCUAUGAAUGGUGCUGUGCUCACAUGAACGGAUAAGGCCAAAAGGUGCUGGCUACAAUACACUAAUGGGAUCUGUGCUAGCCAAGUAACUCAAAUAGUUACCUGGUUGUAACAGGCAGAGCUAACAGCUAUGGAGUGUUGUUAGAACAUAAUUCUUAACUUGACAUCUUGGAAAAAAGGAUGCUUCAAGAAUAA